UACAGAGGGGGCAAGCGUUGUUCGGAAUUACUGGGCGUAAAGGGCGCGUAGGCGGCCUUCUAAGUCGAACGUGAAAUCCCUGGGCUCAACCCAGGAACUGCGUCCGAUACUGGGAGGCUUGAAUCCGGGAGAGGGAUGUGGAAUUCCAGGUGUAGCGGUGAAAUGCGUAGAUAUCAAGAGGAACACCUGAGGUGAAGACGGGUUGCUGGGCUGAUACUGACGCUGAGGCGCGAAAGCUAGGGUAGCAAACGGG
rnacentral:rRNA from 1 species